GACGAACGCUGGCGGCGUGCCUAAUACAUGCAAGUUGAGCGCUGAAGGUUGGUACUUGUACCAACUGGAUGAGCAGCGAACGGGUGAGUAACGCGUGGGGAAUCUGCCUUUGAGCGGGGGACAACAUUUGGAAACGAAUGCUAAUACCGCAUAAAAACUUUAAACACAAGGUUUAAGUUUGAAAGAUGCAAUUGCAUCACUCAAAGAUGAUCCCGCGUUGUAUUAGCUAGUUGGUGAGGUAAAGGCUCACCAAGGCGAUGAUACAUAGCCGACCUGAGAGGGUGAUCGGCCACAAUGGGACUGAGACAAGGCCCAAACUCCUAAGGGAGGCAGCAGUAGGGAAUCUUCGGCAAUGGACGAAAGGCUGACCGAGCAACGCCGCGGGAGGGAAGAAGGUUUUCGGAUCGUAAAACUCUGUUGGUAGAGAAGAACGUUGGUGAGAGUGGAAAGCUCAUCAAGUGACGGUAACUACCCAGAAAGGGACGGCUAACUACGUG
rnacentral:rRNA from 1 species